rnacentral:rRNA from 1 species
UACGGAGGGGGCUAGCGUUGUCCGAAGUUACUGGGCGUAAAGCGCGCGUAGGCGGGUUGGUAAGUCCGCUGUGAAAGCCCGGAGCUUAACUCCGGAGGGUCGGUGGAUACUGCCAGUCUUGAAGGUGCUAGGGGGGGAUGGAAUUACCGGUGUAGCGGUGAAAUGCGUAGAUAUCGGUAGGAACACCAGUGGCGAAGGCGGUCUCCUGGGGCAUUCUUGACGCUGAGGCGCGAAAGCUAGGGGGAGCAAACAGG